AUUGAACGCUGGCGGCAGGCUUAACACAUGCAAGUCGGGCGGAGAUGAGGUGCUUGCACCUUAUCUUAGCGGCGGACGGGUGAGUAAUGCUUAGGAAUCUGCCUAUUAGUGGGGGACAACAUUCCGAAAGGAAUGCUAAUACCGCAUACGCCCUACGGGGGAAAGCAGGGGAUCUUCGGACCUUGCGCUAAUAGAUGAGCCUAAGUCGGAUUAGCUAGUUGGUGGGGUAAAGGCCUACCAAGGCGACGAUCUGUAGCGGGUCUGAGAGGAUGGUCCGCCACACUGGGACUGGGACACGGCCCAGACUCCUACGGGAGGCAGCAGUGGGGAAUAUUGGACAAUGGGCGGAAGCCUGAUCUAGCCAUGCCGCGUGUGUGAAGAAGGCCUUUUGGUUGUAAAGCACUUUAAGCGAGGAGGAGGCUACCUGGAUUAAUACUCUAGGAUAGUGGACGUUACUCGCAGAAUAAGCACCGGCUAACUCUGUGCCAGCCGCCGCCGUAACAC
rnacentral:rRNA from 1 species